UACGUAGGGGGCAAGCGUUGUCCGGAUUUAUUGGGCGUAAAGAGCGUGUAGGCGGCUUUGCAAGUCGGUUGUGAAAACUCGAGGCUCAACCUCGAGACGCCGGUGGAAACUGCAAAGCUAGAGUCCGGAAGAGGAGAGUGGAAUUCCUGGUGUAGCGGUGAAAUGCGCAGAUAUCAGGAAGAACACCCGUGGCUAAGGCGGCUCUCUAGUACGGUACUGACGCUGAGACGCGAAAGCGUGGGGAGCGAACAGG
rnacentral:rRNA from 1 species